rnacentral:lncRNA from 1 species
CAGGACCUCGAAUGACAACUGGUAUCUUAAACUGGCCACCAGAUGUGUAAUGGAGCAUACCACAGUUGUUGGAUAUCUGGUUGAAGGCUAGAAGAAGAAAUCCCAUGUUCAUUCCUUCAAUAACUGGACGCAGGCCAGUCAUUGCAGCUCCAAUACCCAUACCAGUGAAAGAGUUCUCAGCAAUUGGGGUGUCGAGAACCCUGAGAUCACCAUAUUUUGGGGCAAGGCCUUUAGUUACCUUGUACGAACCUCCAUAAUGACCGGGGAGUGUCAAGAACCCUGAGAUCACCAUACUUUGGGGCAAGGCCUUUAGUCACCUUGUACGAACCUCCAUAAUGACCGACAUCUUCACCCAUUACACAUACAGUGGGAUCUCUAUCCAUCUCUUCUUCAAGACCUUCACGGAGGGCCUCAAAGAGCAAUAGUUCAUGCCUAAAGAUUGUACAUUCAAUGACAUAAGUCGUGUGGUCAAGCAACAAGAAAGCCGGAUAAAAACAAUCACGUAAGUGAGCAAUUGCGAAGUAAUUGAUAUAGUUCACACCAUAAUCGGCAUUAAAAAAAUAUGAUAAAAGAGUGCAUAUCUGACAAGCCAACAAAGAUCUAUUCAGUGACGUAAGCUAAAUGAUUAAGCAAACAGAGUAUGAAAUUCUUUUAAAACCAUGGACAUAAUCUAUCCUGAAUAAUUAGGAAGACCCAUCCCAUCAAGGAAGCACGUAUAACUCAAAUACAUCCAUAGAUAAUGUUGGUAAUGACCACAAUCAAAACUAAACAGCUUUUUAUCCCUUAAACAACCAGAUUCGUAACAAAAAUGUCUGGAAUCCCACAGUACGAAUCUUAAUUAUGCAUUAGGAAGAGAAAGAAUGAAUAAGGACCUCUAUACUGGCUUAUCAGUGCCCGAAUCAUUCAUGUAAUUAGAACCUCAGAACCCAACAAAGCAGAAAGGAAAAUCAAAAGCUCAACAACUUUGAAGUAGGAAAGUAACCUCCCUUUUGACCAGCUCCUAAAGAGAUAGCUUGACAAGAAUACAAG